GUGCUUCAGCAGCACAUACACUAAAAUUGGAAUGAUACAGAGAUUAGCAUGGCCCCCUGCACAAGAAUGACACAAACAUUUGUGAAACCUUUCAUAUUAAA
ensembl:snRNA U6 U6 spliceosomal RNA